rnacentral:rRNA from 1 species
UGACAGUACUCCUACGGGGAGGCAGCAGUGGGGGAAUAGUUGCACAAUGGGCGCAAGCCUGAUGCAGCCAUGCCGCGUGUGUGAAGAAGGCCUUCGGGUUGUAAAGCACUUUCAGUCGUGAGGAAGGUAGUGUAGUUAAUAGCUGCAUUAUUUGACGUUAGCGACAGAAGAAGCACCGGCUAACUCCGUGCCAGCAGCCGCGGUAAUACGGAGGGUGCGAGCGUUAAUCGGAAUUACUGGGCGUAAAGCGCAUGCAGGUGGUUUGUUAAGUCAGAUGUGAAAGCCCGGGGCUCAACCUCGGAAUAGCAUUUGAAACUAGGCAGACUAGAGUACUGUAGAGGGGGGUAGGAAUUUCAGGUGUAGCGGUGAAAUGCGUAGAGAUCUGAAGGAAUACCGGUGGCGAAGGCGGCCCCCUGGACAGAUACUGACACUCAGAUGCGAAAGCGUGGGGAGCAAACAGGAUUAGAUACCCUGGUAG